ACCCGGGUGCUGGAAUUGGUAGACAGGCAUGGUUGAGGGCCAUGUGUCCUUACGGGCGUGUGAGUUCAAGUCUCAUUCCGGGUA
rnacentral:tRNA from 1 species